UACGUAGGGGCCAAGCGUUGUCCGGAUUUAUUGGGCGUAAAGAGCUCGUAGGUGGUUCGGCAAGUCAGUUGUGAAAUCUCCGCGCUCAACGCGGAGGGGUCAGCUGAAACUGCUGUGACUUGAGUCUGGUAGGGGAGUGUGGAAUUCCCGGUGUAGCGGUGAAAUGCGCAGAUAUCGGGAGGAACACCAGUGGCGAAGGCGGCACUCUGGGCCAGUACUGACGCUGAUGCGCGAAAGCCAGGGGAGCAAACGGG
rnacentral:rRNA from 1 species